GGGGUUGUCGCUCAGUGGGAGAGCUCUCGCCUAGCAUGCGUGAGGCAUGGGGUUCGAUCCUCGGCACCA
rnacentral:tRNA from 1 species